UCCUCCCGGUAGUAUAAUUAGUCCCUUUCAGUAUCCCCGCCUGUCACGCGGGAGACCGGGUUCGAUUCCCCGCCGGGGAG